UACCACGUCUGGACUAGAGCCAUUGUCCCCC
rnacentral:piRNA from 1 species